rnacentral:misc_RNA from 1 species
UGCGCACAAUAACCAAGCUUCAUAUCCAAGCCCCAUGCAUGGAUCAGGUCGUUCUGGACCAUAUACCAAGCACAACGCCAAGCGGCUUUUGAGAAUACCGGAGCCAUCAUUUCUACCCACCCCACACAAGGAGGUUCUGUGCUGUUGUUAUCACACGUUCGGCCACCUCUAUUUAAUCUGUAGAACCUCCUGUGCACCUUGGAUCUCCCUCUGCGCACAGUAAUAUGAUGAUGUACUUCCGAUUUACUAGCAUCAAGUCCUGGCUGUGAUAUCUCCAAGCCUUCUUCUCUUACAAUAGAUAUAUACUUCUCCGGAUGAAAGUUUUCGACUCCAAGGUCCUCAUCCCACAAAAAAAUAUAGUCGUAUUCAGAAACUAUAUCCGGGUGCAGAAACCUCUUCGCGAACCACCAUUUUGUUUGGUUCAUAGCAGAGACAUGUAUGGCACGAUUACUCCACUCAAGAUCAUUCCACUCAUCCACCACACCAUCAUAGUGGAAAAGCAUCACAACAAAGUCAUGUUCAAGAAACCUUUUAACAAUUUUAUUCACCAGCUCUUUUUGCUUUAUUCCAACUGCAAUUCCCAAUAAGUUAACUGAAUGUGGUGACUUCUUCUCAACAUCACCCCACAAUGGUCGCAUUUCCAGGUUUGAUGUUUUAGAAACAAUUCCUUCUGGGAGUGCCUCACUCCCUAAUGGCCUGCACUUUUUCUGGCAUUUAUUAUUUUGCACAUUCUCUGUCACAUGACUCUCUUGUUUUUCCUCUCUUGGUGGUACCUCGCAUUUUCCGCAUUGUCCAUUCUGCUUUGUACUGUUUAUUGUAAAACCUGAAAAAGCCCUGAAAUCCUUAGCCAUCAAAGCACUUCCGGUAAAGUAGACAGCACAAAUUAAAGCAAGAGUCAAGAAGAGGCUGCAGAUAAAUGAUCUACUUUUAGGAUCAGGCACAGAAACCUGAAAAAUAGCACGAGCACAAGAAACAUCGUUAAAUAGAAGAACAAAUUCCAUAGUCUCAACUGUUUAGCAAUGAAAAUACAAAAAUUAGUAUUUUCCCCAUCCG